AAUCUCGUGCCCGCCCCCGCGGUUUACGAGAAACUCAUUUUAAUAUUCACGGCCCAAAGGGUAGUUUUAGACAUAAUAAAAUAGAAUUUAAAACUUAUUUAAUAGUUAUAUAUAAACAUAAAAUGUAAAUCCAAAAACGAAAGUUAUACUAUAUAUUCUUGAAUCUACUACAAUUGAGGAACAAACUGGGAUUAGAUACCCCACUAUGCUCAACUUUAAAAUGGAUUUUCCCGCCAGAGAACUACGAGCUACAGCUUAAAACUCAAAGGACUUGGCGGUGCUCUACACCCACCUAGAGGAGCCUGUUCUAUAAUCGACACCCCCCGAUAAACCUCACCACUUCUUGCUACUACAGCCUAUAUACCACCGUCCUCAGUUCACCUUUUAAAAGAAUAAUAGUGAACAAAAUAAUUCAAAAUAAAAAAGUCAGGUCAAGGUGCAGCAAAUGAAGUGGGAAGAAAUGGGCUACAUUUUUUAAUAAAAAAAACACGGAGUAUUAUAUGAAAUAAAAUAUAAAGGAGGAUUUAGAAGUAAAAAGAAAAAAGAGCGUUCUUUUUAAACUGGCAAUAGAGCACGCACACACCGCCCGUCACCCUCUUCAAAAAUAAAAUAAAUUAAAUAAAUAUAUAAAUUUAUAAGAAAAGGUAAGUCGUAACAUGGUAAGUCUACCGGAAGGUGGCCUUGGAUAU
rnacentral:rRNA from 1 species